AAACUAAUUAGUUAUAUAAAAAAUGGUUAAGUAUCAAAUCCACCCCUAACAUAGAUGUCAUUAUCACGUUUAGCACCCAAUGGUCGAGGUUGGGUCAACUAAACCCCCGAAAUACUUAAAUUCCUCCAAUUAACCCCUACGACUUAACGGACGGUUAACGCCAUUAACUAUUUAAUUUUUUAUUAUUAUUUCAUUGGUGGUGGGACCUACGCCUUCUUUUUCACCAAGCUCGCCGGAAACUCGUCGGAAAAACGCCGGAAACUUGCCACCGCCCCCGCUGCUUCUUACUGCAUAGCAAUCCUUAGCCUUAUGUCGCACUCCUUGCGCCUGAUCUUAUCAGACAACACCCGCAUAGCCUCACCGACCAGCUUGAAUGCCUCUUCAGACGCCACGAAGGGGUUUUUAUCGGGGUGAAGCAUCAAAGCCAGCUUCUAGUAUUGUUUUUUAAUCGAAUUGAUGUGCGAGAACCUUUGCACCUACAGAAUUUUGUAGUAGUCCAAAGUCGGCUUCUGCGUCUCUGCGCUGCCGUCGCGGCGGCGGCGCAGAGGAUUUGGAAGGCGAUGAGCAUCUGCUACAGGUCGGAGAUGGAGGGAUGGAGGUCGCAGACGCGCUCGGUGUAUGCGACGACGGAGGUGAGGUCGCCGGAAUAGACUCUCCGUCGGGUUCCCUCUUUUUUUUUAUAGUUCGCGUGCCCUAGCUUGAAAUUUCUUCUUCGGUGAAUCGAGUUUGCUGUCGCGUCUCCAUCUCUCGCGCUCUCUUCUAUCUCAAUUUCUAUCUCUCUCAAGCUCUCGCUCACUCUCUUCUCCUUUUUCGCGUAGGUCCCCGUCUCUGUCCGGUGCCGAAUCGUCCCCCGCCACCGCUAGAAACCUCUCACUCCCUAUCUCCUCUCCUGCUCCAUCUAUCUCUCAAUACAUCUCCCUCUCACACAAAUUCAGUCAUUGGUUUUUCUGUCACCAGAGCGUCGCCGCCGCCUUCAUUAAUCGGCAAGGAUAAAUUUGAGAUUAAGUGUUCGCCGAAAUGCUUGACAGAAGAUUUAGCUGAAUGGGAAUUUGGUAACGAAGAGAAAUGGUGGAAGGGUGGGGCCCACCGAUUCAAUUUUUUAUUUUUAUAUUUAAAAAGGACGGCGUUAACCGUCUGUUAGGGCAGAGAGGUUAAUUGGAGGAAAUUAAGUACUUCGGGGAUUUAGUUGACCCAACCUCGACCAUAAGGUGCUAGAUGUGAUAAGGGUCUUUAUGUUAUAGGUGGAUUUAAUACUUAACCCUAUAAAAAACAAUACAUCAAUUGUAAAUGAUGUAACAAAAACUUUUUUUUUCUUGCUCCGAAAACACACUCUAUAAAUACCUAAUUAUGUGUUA